rnacentral:rRNA from 1 species
GAAUAUUGGACAAUGGGGGGAACCCUGAUCCAGCCAUGCCGCGUGUGUGAAGAAGGCCUCUUGGUUGUAAAGCACUUUAAGCGAGGAGGAGGAUACUCUAGUUAAUACCUAGAGAGAGUGGACGCUACUCGCAGAAUCAGCACCGGCUAACUCUGUCCCCGCAGCCGCGGUAAUCCAGAGGGUGCAUGCGUUAAUCGGAUUUACUGGGCGUAAAGCGCGCGUAGGUGGCCAGUUAAGUCAAAUGUGAAAUCCCCGAGCUUAACUUGGGAAUUGCAUUCGAUACUGGUUGGCUAGAGUAUGGGAGAGGAUGGUAGAAUUCCAGGUGUAGCGGUGAAAUGCGUAGAGAUCUGGAGGAAUACCGAUGGCGAAGGCAGCCAUCUGGCCUAAUACUGACACUGAGGUGCGAAAGCAUGGGGAGCAAACA